rnacentral:tRNA from 1 species
GUCAUUCAAUUGGUUAGGCUGCCGCCCUGUCACGGUCCCGACUGAGUCGGGACGGGUUCGAGUCCCGUCCAGA